GAUGAACGCUGGCGGCGUGCCUAAUACAUGCAAGUCGAGCGAACGGACGAGAAGCUUGCUUCUCUGAUGUUAGCAGCGGACGGGUGAGUAACACGUGGAUAACCUACCUAUAAGACUGGGAUAACUUCGGGAAACCGGAGCUAAUACCGGAUAAUAUUUUGAACCGCAUGGUUCAAAAGUGAAAGACGGUCUUGCUGUCACUUCUAGAUGGAUCCGCGCUGCAUUAGCUAGUUGGUAAGGUAACGGCUUACCAAGGCAACGAUGCAUAGCCGACCUGAGAGGGUGAUCGGCCACACUGGAACUGAGACACGGUCCAGACUCCUACGGGAGGCAGCAGUAGGGAAUCUUCCGCAAUGGGCGAAAGCCUGACGGAGCAACGCCGCGUGAGUGAUGAAGGUCUUCGGAUCGUAAAACUCUGUUAUUAGGGAAGAACAUAUGUGUAAGUAACUGUGCACAUCUUGACGGUACCUAAUCAGAAAGCCACGGCUAACUACGUG
rnacentral:rRNA from 1 species